rnacentral:rRNA from 1 species
AGCGGUAAAGGCCCUUCGGGGUACACGAGCGGCGAACGGGUGAGUAACACGUGGGUGAUCUGCCUCGCACUUCGGGAUAAGCCUGGGAAACUGGGUCUAAUACCGGAUAUGACCUUCNGAUGCAUGNUGGGGGGUGGAAAGAUUUAUCGGUGCGAGAUGGGCCCGCGGCCUAUCAGCUUGUUGGUGGGGUAACGGCCCACCAAGGCGACGACGGGUAGCCGACCUGAGAGGGUGACCGGCCACACUGGGACUGAGACACGGCCCAGACUCCUACGGGAGGCAGCAGUGGGGAAUAUUGCACAAUGGGCGAAAGCCUGAUGCAGCGACGCCGCGUGGAGGAUGACGGCCUUCGGGUUGUAAACUCCUUUCGACAGGGACGAAGCGCAAGUGACGGUACCUGUAGAAGAAGCACCGGCCAACUACGUGCCAGCAGCCGCGGUAAUACNUAGGGUGCGAGCGUUGUCCGGAAUUACUGGGCGUAAAGAGCUUGUAGGCGGUUUGUCGCGUCUUCUGUGAAAACUUGGGGCUCAACCUUAAGCUUGCAGGCGAUACGGGCAGACUAGAGUACUUCAGGGGAGACUGGAAUUCCUGGUGUAGCGGUGAAAUGCGCAGAUAUCAGGAGGAACACCGGUGGCGAAGGCGGGUCUCUGGGAAGUAACUGACGCUGAGAAGCGAAAGCAUGGGUAGCGAACAGGAUUAGAUACCCUGGUAGUCCAUGNCCGUAAACGGUGGGUACUAGGUGUGGGUUUCCUUCCNCGGGAUCCGUGCCNUAGCUAACGCAUUAAGUACCCCGCCUGGGGAGUACGGCCGCAAGGCUAAAACUCAAAGAAAUUGACGGGGGGCCC